AGAAGAAUGCCUGAUCUAGAAGAUGCCCAGUGGAUUCUUAUUGAAGGAAUGUCCAGUGGGUGUUAAGGGUGAGGCUCAGGGAAUUAAGCACCUUGUUCUGGGUCACGGGUCAUUAAGCUAAGAAAAUACAGCAUGUCCAUCUGGCCAGCUUCCCAGAUAGAGCCUCAUGAAGUUCCAGCACACAGAGAAGUGAAAGGGGAGAAUGGAAUAAUCUGUUCAUUCUUUCGUUCAAUAUUUACUCAAAACCCACUAUGUGCUAGGAUUGAGCGUGGCUCCUUCUCAGAAGCGGAUUCCUGAAAGGCCCUGCCCUUCAGGGGACAUGGAUGGGGCCACCAGCUGCUGGGCAAAGAGAGGACAGCCAGGAAGCAAGUGACGAAGCCUGCAAGAAGGCCAGGGAGGAACAGGAAGGACCAGCUGAAGAUGUAUUAAUAGCAACACAGGAUAAGGCCCGGCUGUUCCUGUUUGGACCACUUUCUCCAGCCGAAUCCAUGGUUCCUCUCACCUCCUCCAGGCCUUUGCUCACCCCAGCCUCUUCCCUGACUGGGUGCCUCCCAUCGGAACCCUCCCUGGGGAACCCGUCCCACAGUGAUGGAGCGCCUUAUACCCGCUUUCUGCUUUCUUUUUUUUACAAAGCACUCCUACUCAUCAAACACAUUAACUACUGUGCUUAUUUGGUUUGCUUCUUUCCCUUCCAGAAUGUAAGCUCUACGAGAGCAGGGUUUUCAGUCCUUUCGGUUUACUGACACACCCCCCAUGCCCAACACAGAGCCUUGUACAUAUUUGUUGAAUGGAUUAAAAACAGAAUAACCAUAAUCAUAGCUGACACUGCCUUAGCCCCUGCUUUUUGCCCUAGAACUGUUCCAAGCACCUCAUAUGUGCUCAUUCAUGAAUUCCUCCCAUCUCAAUGAGGCACAGAGCGGGCAAGUAAUUUGCUCAAGGCCACAGAGCAAGUGUGCAAGAGUGACGAACAGGUUGGCCUGAGUUCCCUGUUGGUGAUGUUUUACUCACUCCGAGGCUGUCUGUGACCCUUGGCAUCAGCUCUUUUCGUGGGUGACAUGGCCGCUUUGGCAGCACCCUCUCACUCCUCUAACACGCUGUAUUAUGAGGGCCUCUUUGCUUGUUUACUGUUGACUCAAUUUCUUUGCAGGCAGGGACUGGUCUCCUUCAUUUUGAUUUCCCCAGUGCCUUGCAUGGUGUCCCGCCCAUUGCAGAGACUCCCCUCUGUUUUCCUAGUUGGCAUUUACACCCACCCGGUGAGGUGGGAAACACAGGUGUCAUCACUCCAUUGCCCCCAUUUAUCAGCAGGGAAACAAGCUCAGAGAAGUGAAGUCUUUCAUUCAUUUGACAAGUAUUUAUUGCACUUCUAUUACACCGAGUACUGAGCUAAGUGCUGAGAGGCUGGAAGAGGCACACAGUGGCCAAACCCUGGGUCUCCUGGUUCAGUGCUCACCUGGCCAAAGCCCACAGUCCACACUACAGAGCCCCAUGGGUUCUGGCUGCUGCCCAAGGCUUUGGUGAGACCACCCCCUGUUAGAACUGG